rnacentral:rRNA from 1 species
AUGAACGCUGGCGGCGUGCCUAAUACAUGCAAGUCGAGCGAACAGACGAGGAGCUUGCUCCUCUGACGUUAGCGGCGGACGGGUGAGUAACACGUGGAUAACCUACCUAUAAGACUGGGAUAACUUCGGGAAACCGGAGCUAAUACCGGAUAAUAUAUUGAACCGCAUGGUUCAAUAGUGAAAGACGGUUUUGCUGUCACUUAUAGAUGGAUCCGCGCCGCAUUAGCUAGUUGGUAAGGUAACGGCUUACCAAGGCAACGAUGCGUAGCCGACCUGAGAGGGUGAUCGGCCACACUGGAACUGAGACACGGUCCAGACUCCUACGGGAGGCAGCAGUAGGGAAUCUUCCGCGAUGGGCGAAAGCUUGACGGAGCAACGCCGCGUGAGUGAUGAAGGUCUUCGGAUCGUAAAACUCUGUUAUUAGGGAAGAACAAAUGUGUAAGUAACUAUGCACGUCUUGACGGUACCUAAUCAGAAAGCCACGGCUAACUACGUG